AUUGAACGCUGGCGGCAGGCCUAACACAUGCAAGUCGAGCGCGAAAAUUUCUUCGGGAAUGAGUAGAGCGGCGGACGGGUGAGUAACGCGUAGGAAUCUGCCCGGUAGUGGGGGACAACAGUCGGAAACGACUGCUAAUACCGCAUACGCCCUAAGGGGGAAAGCAGGGGAUCUUCGGACCUUGCGCUAUCGGAUGAGCCUGCGUCGGAUUAGCUUGUUGGUGGGGUAAUGGCCUACCAAGGCGACGAUCCGUAGCUGGUCUGAGAGGAUGAUCAGCCACACUGGGACUGAGACACGGCCCAGACUCCUACGGGAGGCAGCAGUGGGGAAUAUUGGACAAUGGGGGGAAACCCUGAGUCCAGCCAUGCCGCGUGUGUGAAGAAGGCCUUCGGUUGUAAG
rnacentral:rRNA from 1 species